GAUCAGCCCUCUACGGGAGUGCUAGCUCUUACAGUCUGCUUCUGAUGGUAGAUCUGACUUGAUCUCCUUCUUUGAUUAUCUUGAACCUUUUUGAUAUUAAAGAUGGAUUAGAGAAGGAUACUGGAUGGUAGAGAAAAAUUAGAUGAAGACUCUCUUUUCUUUGGUUUUUUCCUUACCAAAAAAUCUAGAACAGUUCUAGGUCUCUCACCCAAGAGGAGAACGGUCUCCUCUUUUGUUCACACCA
rnacentral:lncRNA from 1 species